rnacentral:rRNA from 1 species
UACGUAGGGUCCGAGCGUUGUCCGGAAUUACUGGGCGUAAAGAGCUCGUAGGUGGUUUGUCGCGUUGUUCGUGAAAACUCACAGCUCAACUGUGGGCGUGCGGGCGAUACGGGCAGACUAGAGUACUGCAGGGGAGACUGGAAUUCCUGGUGUAGCGGUGGAAUGCGCAGAUAUCAGGAGGAACACCGAUGGCGAAGGCAGGUCACUGGGCCGCAACUGACGCUGAGGAGCGAAAGCAUGGGGAGCGAACAGG